rnacentral:rRNA from 1 species
UGAAACCGUGUGCUUACAAGUAGUCAGAGCCCGUUAAUGGGUGAUGGCGUGCCUUUUGUAGAAUGAACCGGCGAGUUACGAUUUGAUGCAAGGUUAAGCAGUAAAUGUGGAGCCGUAGCGAAAGCGAGUCUGAAUAGGGCGUUUAGUAUUUGGUCGUAGACCCGAAACCAGGUGAUCUACCCUUGGUCAGGUUGAAGUUCAGGUAACACUGAAUGGAGGACCGAACCGACUUACGUUGAAAAGUGAGCGGAUGAACUGAGGGUAGCGGAGAAAUUCCAAUCGAACCUGGAGAUAGCUGGUUCUCUCCGAAAUAGCUUUAGGGCUAGCCUCAAGUGAUGAUUAUUGGAGGUAGAGCACUGUUUGGACGAGGGGCCCCUCUCGGGUUACCGAAUUCAGACAAACUCCGAAUGCCAAUUAAUUUAACUUGGGAGUCAGAACAUGGGUGAUAAGGUCCGUGUUCGAAAGGGAAACAGCCCAGACCACCAGCUAAGGUCCCAAAAUAUAUGUUAAGUGGAAAAGGAUGUGGCGUUGCCCAGACAACUAGGAUGUUGGCUUAGAAGCAGCCAUCAUUUAAAGAGUGCGUAAUAGCUCACUAGUCGAGUGACACUGCGCCGAAAAUGUACCGGGGCUAAACAUAUUACCGAAGCUGUGGAUUGUCCUUUGGACAAUGGUAGGAGAGCGUUCUAAGGGCGUUGAAGCAUGAUCGUAAGGACAUGUGGAGCGCUUAGAAGUGAGAAUGCCGGUGUGAGUAGCGAAAGACGGGUGAGAAUCCCGUCCACCGAUUGACUAAGGUUUCCAGAGGAAGGCUCGUCCGCUCUGGGUUAGUCGGGUCCUAAGCUGAGGCCGACAGGCGUAGGCGAUGGAUAACAGGUUGAUAUUCCUGUACCACCUAUAAUCGUUUUAAUCGAUGGGGGGACGCAGUAGGAUAGGCGAAGCGUGCGAUUGGAUUGCACGUCUAAGCAGUAAGGCUGAGUAUUAGGCAAAUCCGGUACUCGUUAAGGCUGAGCUGUGAUGGGGAGAAGACAUUGUGUCUUCGAGUCGUUGAUUUCACACUGCCGAGAAAAGCCUCUAGAUAGAAAAUAGGUGCCCGUACCGCAAACCGACACAGGUAGUCAAGAUGAGAAUUCUAAGGUGAGCGAGCGAACUCUCGUUAAGGAACUCGGCAAAAUGACCCCGUAACUUCGGGAGAAGGGGUGCUCUUUAGGGUUAACGCCCAGAAGAGCCGCAGUGAAUAGGCCCAAGCGACUGUUUAUCAAAAACACAGGUCUCUGCUAAACCGUAAGGUGAUGUAUAGGGGCUGACGCCUGCCCGGUGCUGGAAGGUUAAGAGGAGUGGUUAGCUUCUGCGAAGCUACGAAUCGAAGCCCCAGUAAACGGCGGCCGUAACUAUAACGGUCCUAAGGUAGCGAAAUUCCUUGUCGGGUAAGUUCCGACCCGCACGAAAGGCGUAACGAUUUGGGCACUGUCUCAACGAGAGACUCGGUGAAAUCAUAGUACCUGUGAAGAUGCAGGUUACCCGCGACAGGACGGAAAGACCCCGUGGAGCUUUACUGUAGCCUGAUAUUGAAAUUCGGCACAGCUUGUACAGGAUAGGUAGGAGCCUUUGAAACGUGAGCGCUAGCUUACGUGGAGGCGCUGGUGGGAUACUACCCUAGCUGUGUUGGCUUUCUAACCCGCACCACUUAUCGUGGUGGGAGACAGUGUCAGGCGGGCAGUUUGACUGGGGCGGUCGCCUCCUAAAAGGUAACGGAGGCGCUCAAAGGUUCCCUCAGAAUGGUUGGAAAUCAUUCAUAGAGUGUAAAGGCAUAAGGGAGCUUGACUGCGAGACCUACAAGUCGAGCAGGGUCGAAAGACGGACUUAGUGAUCCGGUGGUUCCGCAUGGAAGGGCCAUCGCUCAACGGAUAAAAGCUACCCCGGGGAUAACAGGCUUAUCUCCCCCAAGAGUUCACAUCGACGGGGAGGUUUGGCACCUCGAUGUCGGCUCAUCGCAUCCUGGGGCUGUAGUCGGUCCCAAGGGUUGGGCUGUUCGCCCAUUAAAGCGGUACGCGAGCUGGGUUCAGAACGUCGUGAGACAGUUCGGUCCCUAUCCGUCGUGGGCGUAGGAAAUUUGAGAGGAGCUGUCCUUAGUACGAGAGGACCGGGAUGGACAUACCUCUGGUGUACCAGUUGUCGUGCCAACGGCAUAGCUGGGUAGCUAUGUGUGGACGGGAUAAGUGCUGAAAGCAUCUAAGCAUGAAGCCCCCCUCAAGAUGAGAUUUCCCAACUUCGGUUAUAAGAUCCCUCAAAGAUGAUGAGGUUAAUAGGUUCGAGGUGGAAGCAUGGUGACAUGUGGAGCUGACGAAUACUAAUCGAUCGAAGACUUAAUCAA